rnacentral:rRNA from 1 species
CAGUCGCCGCGGGAAUACGAAGGGUGCAAGCGUUACUCGGAAUUACUGGGCGUAAAGCGUGCGUAGGUGGUGGUUUAAGUCCGUUGUGAAAGCCCUGGGCUCAACCUGGGAAUUGCAGUGGAUACUGGGUCACUAGAGUGUGGUAGAGGAUAGUGGAAUUUCCGGUGUAGCAGUGAAAUGCGUAGAGAUCGGAAGGAACAUCUGUGGUGAAGGCGACUAUCUGGGCCAACACUGACACUGAGGCACGAAAGCGUGGGGAGCAAACAGGAUUAGAUACCCCGGUAGUCCCUGUCUCUUAUAC